GUGCUUGCUUCAGCAGCACAUAUUCUAAAACUGGGAUAAUACGGAGAAGAUUAGCACGGCUCCUGUGCAAGGAUGACAUGCAAAUUCAUGAAGCAGUCCAUAUUUUU